CGGGCACACUCUUUCAGAAGGCUCCGUUCGCGAAGUUGUCGGCCGCGCUCAUUCAGAACAUCGACCUGAUUGUGCGCCGCUGGCGGAAUCUGCGCGACAAAUUCGCCAAGAAGAUAAAGGAGUUGGCCAAGAAGAGCGGAGCAGAAGCAGGAGAACCUGUUUCAAAGUGGAAGUACUUCGACCUCAUGCUCUUCCUGAGGGACAUUGUAGAACCACGCCCAACAACAAGCAACCUGAAUGUUCCCAAUUCACUAGACGAGGUCCUUAGGGAUACCGAAGAUGACCCGGUAGUGCUGUUUGGUUCAAUGCUGCCCCACCAAGGUGCCAGCAGUGAAGAUACAACACAUUGAACUCCCACAUGAGGAAGACAACACAAACACGAUCAUCAACACCUCUUUCAAACAUUUCGCCGCAUUACCCCACUCAAUCUACACAGCCUUCCUCCCUUUCAUCACACUCCCCAACACGAACACACGAAGCUGCAUCCACUAUUACACGCACAACUUUUCAAACAAAAGAGACACAAGAGGAAAUCACAAAGAGACGCUAUGCUGUCUAGAGUGGAUGCCCCGCUGCAGGAAGAAAAACUGGGCAGAAACGAGCAAUUUCUGCUCUCACUGGCAGGCGACAUGGACAGUGUGCCAGCGCACCUAAGCGGACAGUGCAAGGUGCACCUGCUGGAAGUGCUCCUGCACUACCAAGCAGGAGUCAUCC